CUAAAAAUGUGUGACUCUAUAACUUUUAGACCGUGAGGCCAAACUUAGCAUGCCAUACCUUUUCGGAAUGCCCAAAGAGAGCACUCCGAUGAAUGAGGAAGGAAAAUGGAAUUCUUCUAUUAUUUUUU
rnacentral:sRNA from 1 species